CUUGCUGCCAGAUAGCUCCACUGCCUUCCAGCAGGGGUGUAUGUUUAUGGAGGCGUCUGGUUUCCAUAGUAACCCUGUAUGCUUGCGAGGUAGUAGGCCCUGAUUUUUGGGCGCCCGGAGGACAUAGGAUGAUGUCGGUUCUGUCAGUGCCGGACUGCAAGGCGGUGUCAGUGGUCUUGAAUCACUUCAUGGAAGUGGAGAAACACGUAAAAGAUAAAGACCCAGGAUUUGACGAAGACAUUUCAUACCACUUGAUGUCAGUGGCAGAUGCUGUUAAGGAACUGGAAGACAUAAGAAGGAAUACACGGGAGCUUCUGGAAGUGGCAACUAUAGAAAACAGCAAAUUACGAUACCGAACUGUGCAUCUGCCAAGAAUCAUCACAAGAGAGAUUGAAGAUGCAGUUAGAAGCGCUCGUGAGUCCAUUGCUGCAGAGAGACUUCACUUAGAGAAUGAACUGAAACAGAUCAGGGAGCAGCUGGAAAAAACUGAAAGAAAGCAAAAAGAACUUGAAGAGAUGAAUGAAUAUAUGAGUCAACAGGGAGAAAUGUUAUGGGACAAACAUCAAGAAGCUGUUGAUUUACUAAACCAGCAGAUGGCAGGCAAAGCCUAUCAAAGCAUUCUUGUGAACGAGACCCACAACAAACGUAAAGAAGCCGAAGAAGCCGUAAUUGAAUAUCAGAACCGAACUGAAGACCUAGAAGAGGAUUUAGCAAUAGAAAGACAGCAGUUCAUUGAGGAGAAAGAAAAAUUAAUGGCUGAGAUUGCAGAAACACAAAGAAAAACUGAAAUACAAAAUGCCAGAAAUGCAGAAAAGAAAGUAUAUCUCAGUCAGAGGAGGUCAGUGCUGUUUGAUGUGGAAGAGAAAAUAACCAUGGAGAAGGAGAACAUAUCUUCUAUAAGGGGCAAAAUUUUACUUUUGCAAGCUUCACAUGGAAGACUGACAAAUAAACUAGACGUACAAAUGAAACAGUCAAUGGAUACCUCAAACAAAAUAGACAUUCUCGAGCUGCACAUGAUAAAUGAGAGAGAGAAUUUUUAUAAACAAAGCAACUCUUCAAAGGAUGAAAUAUCAAAGAUAGAUUUGCAAAUGAACACAGCUGAAAUAUUACAUGAGUCUCUGACAAAGAAGUAUAAAGAUUUGAAGCAGAAAUACCAGACAGCAACCGAGGAGGAAGACAGGCAGCAUGCGAUAAAGAGAGACAUGACUAAACAACUUGAGCUUUCAAGAUCUGCCCUUGACGAAAAACAGGAACUUUUAGGAAAGUUGAAGAUGGAGCUCAAAGAAAUGGAGCACGACACUGAAAAGCUUUUGGAAAGUAUGAGAAUGACCUCAGAACAGCUUGCCAUUCACGUGGAUGAAUUCAAGGAGAAUCUGGCAAUAGAACAUCAAAAAAGAUUGAGUAUCCAGAUUAAAAAAGAUGAAAUGACCAAUGACAUGGAGCUUUGGAAACUGUCAGAGGAAGCAUUUAUAAAUGAAAUGAAGAAAAGAAUUAAAAAUGGAGAAGAUAAGAAAGGUUUUCUAACAAAGGAGGGCAGCCAUCUCCAGAGAGACAUUGAGAAAUGGGGCAACGAGAUCUGCAGCAUAAAUGAAGAACAUGCUAAAGCAAGCAGAGAAUAUUCUAGUCAAGUACAAAAUCUUAAGGAUCAAAUAAAAAAUCUGGAGGAGAAAAUAAAGAAUUCAAUUUCAAGUCUAGAAAAUGAACAAGAGAAACUGGCCAUGAAAAUUCCCAUCAUGAAUGCAGCAGAGGACACAUACAACAAGGAGCACACCAACUAUGAAGACCUGAAAAAGAAAUCUAGUGCCAUGAAAAGCAAGCAAAAAUCUUUGGAGGGAUCCAUCAACAGAAUUGCAAAGGAUAUUGAAGACAGUGUAAAGACAAAGGACAUGAACAAUGCUUCUUUAAAAGCGAUUAGAAAAUCAGCUUUUGACAAGCUUCAGACUGAUCUUGCAACUUUAAAGCUAACAGACAAAGAAAUGUAUGAAACAAACAGAAGGCUUGAACUUGUCAUCAUGGAGAACUGCAGGCUGAAAUUGCAAAAUGCACAAUAUAAAGAAGACAUCAGUACCAUCAUAAACGAAUCGCAACUACAUAUAUCAGCUACAAGUCAUGUAGAGAAAGAUCAAGCAUCUCUCAUUGAGCAUCUGCAUGAAGGUUGGGACCAAGACAACUUUGUUUGUAAUGACUUUUCUGAGAGAGACCAUGAGAUCCUGGAUUCAAUUGUUGAGCUUUUAAAAAAGAUUAGCAAGAGAGAGGAGAAGGUCGGACACCUGAAUAAUGUACUACAUGAGAAGUAUAUUGGACUCUCUUCUAUUUUAGAGUGCAAAGCAGGGCUAUCUAUAUGAGGGCUCAUUUUCUGUGGUGUGAUCUGUAGUUUUUAUCGAUACAUUUUUUAAAGGAAAAAAGCCAAGAAUUCCUUCCAAAUGACCUGGAAGCAGUACAUCCACUCCUUAAAGCAGGAUAUUUUUCUUUCGGAACAUCAAACAAAAUAGUAUAUUACAGAAAUCAAUGUAUAAAAGAAACAAAUAAAAUUCCAUUUACUUACCUUCAUAUAUAACCACAAAACAGAAUUCAAAAAUAAAUAGAAUCAAUUUACAAAGGAUCAGAAGACACAGUAAGAGAAUCAGCCUCUGCCCAUAACUCCUGAGGAAGGCUGUGUGUUAUGAGGUUAUUUUCAAUGCGUUGCUCUUAGGUCAAAGCUCUGCAGACAUUUAUUAGACUUCUAAACUUUACUAAGCAGACUGGUGAAUCCUGUAGUGUUCUAGUUCACUGUGAAGUUCCAGCAUGCUCUACCAGGCAGUACCUUGUCCCCUAAUACUUUAGGUGCUAUAGCAAGAUUGUGAUAUCAGGGUGCAGGUUCAUUCAAUGAUGGAAGGUUUUGUAAUCUAUAGGAAUAAAGCUUCAUGGUGAAGACAAAGGCUUUAAUAAUGUUUGCUGGUUACUUAUCAGAAAUAGCCAGUUAUAUUAAAGGGGUUCUCCCUUGUUUAUACUGUUUUUUGUUAUUAUGUUUGUGAGUUAUGUGUGUAUAAGUAUG